rnacentral:rRNA from 1 species
AGUAACACGUGGAUAACCUACCUAUAAGACUGGGAUAACUUCGGGAAACCGGAGCUAAUACCGGAUAAUAUUUUGAACCGCAUGGUUCAAAAGUGAAAGACUGUCUUGCUGUCACUUAUAGAUGGAUCCGCGCUGCAUUAGCUAGUUGGUAAGGUAACGGCUUACCAAGGCAACGAUGCAUAGCCGACCUGAGAGGGUGAUCGGCCACACUGGAGCUGAGACACGGUCCAG